CAGUAGGGAAUCUUCAGUGGAGCCAUGGUAACAGAGACUCUGUUCCAGAUCCCGGGUAUCGGAUAUACCUCUUACCAGGCGGUAUUACAGGGUGACAUUCCGUUUGUUAUGUUCUACAUGCUGUUUU
rnacentral:rRNA from 1 species